rnacentral:rRNA from 1 species
UACGUAGGGUGCAAGCGUUGUCCGGAAUUAUUGGGCGUAAAGCGCACGUAGGCGGCUAUUCAAGUCAGAGGUGAAAGCCCGGGGCUCAACCCCGGAACUGCCUUUGAAACUAGGUAGCUAGAAUCUUGGAGAGGUCAGUGGAAUUCCGAGUGUAGAGGUGAAAUUCGUAGAUAUUCGGAAGAACACCAGUGGCGAAGGCGACUGACUGGACAAGUAUUGACGCUGAGGUGCGAAAGCGUGGGGAGCAAACAGG